AUCUAAAUUGUAUAAAUAAAUAAUUGGAUAAUGUCUCCAGUCUAAAUCAAAUUCUUCAAAAGGGUGGAGGGCUUAGAAGGGAGAAGUCACAACUUUCCAAACCUUUGUCUGGUUUUCUAUCUCUCUAGCAUAUCUCUUUUUUCCAGUGUUUCACACACACCCCAAAACGUGCCCCUCCCUCAUUUGAUCUCCUUUUGGAGGCACCCCUGUCCGCCAUUGAGGUGGAAGGAAUAAGACACACACACACACACACACAGAGCUCCAUCCACCGUCCCAAGAUCUCUUUUGAGACUCUGCUAAGUUAAGCUUCCUGCUUGAUGGGGUUCUUGUGUUCCCUUCUCCUUCCAGGAGCUCCUCCCAUAAAGCCGAUGGGCGCUGGGUGCCUCCUCCUGGCUGCCAGGACAGCGUGGCGAACAGUCUUCACUACCUUCAGGAUGCCAACUCUCCCACUGUGUCGCUCAGCCCAGACCCCUUCAACAUUCCAACGUCCCUGGUGUUAAGAGGCCGAGGAGGGAAUUCCUUCAGUGAAGACUCUUCCUUCAAUACAGACGAGAUCCAGAACGUCCUGCCUUGGGAACCCCGCACCUUCCCGCUUUCCGAUGCCGACUACCGGGCGCUUCACGACUCCUCCCACAAAACCUUUGGCCAGCAGUGGGAUGAAGCCUUGAGGACUAACUACAUCAACACCGCUGGCCUCUCUUACCUGAGAGAGGCCUUCCCGGCCAAACGUCCGGGGCCUCCUGAGGAUGGUGAUCGGCAGCACCAGGCCGAGCCACGUUGCUUCAUCGCCUCCACGCUGAAUAACAGAUGACCUCUCGGGCUCCGGAGAGAAGACGUCGGGAGAGUUUCACCCACACUCUAGAGAGGCAUCACCGAGCUCAGCUGGCAAGCCAGGCGCCAGGAAAGUCGGGCACAAAGCGGAGGUCCAUCUUUGGACUAGGGAGUUCCCCACGACCGGCGAGAAGGGCCGGCAGGGGCCAUUCGCCGAGCCUCUGUGGGGCGGGAGGAGGGGGUGACCUGGAGAAGCCCAUCGGUAGGUGGGAGAACUCGGAGCACCACACAGGAAGGAAGGUUAGGGGCUGCGGGAGACAACCCACCUACCUCCCAAAAAAGGGAAGCAGAGAGGCUGCAGCACACACCAAGGGGAGAUGCUUGGAACGGACACAGUUGAUGGAAACCUCAAAAGCAGGAGGGAAGUGUGGAUUAAUUGGGGAGAUUGAUUAGUGGAUGAUAGGCUUCAUCCCCCAGAGCCGCUAGUUAAUGGGGUGGGGGUUGCGAAGGAAAGGUUCUGCAGGGAAGUGCGAUAAAUUUUAUCAUUUUGAUCUAUGCCGCUCUGGAAUCCACGGUGUUCUAAACACAAAACUCGUUCUGGAAUCGGCGGUUUUCCUAACUCUGAAUCAUUGUUUCUCCUGAUCUUUGGGGGGGGCGAGAAAAAAAAAACAAUCAAUCAUGAUUGCUACCGAUGCUUUCUAGACUCUUCUAUUCAGAAAAGCGGCCGAUGCUAUGCAGUUGUACGGAAAUGCUAAUUUAAUCAAUAAAAGGAACUUGACCAGAUAAUAA